AUUGAACGCUGGCGGCAGGCUUAACACAUGCAAGUCGAGCGGAGCGAGGGUGCUUGCACCUUAGCUUAGCGGCGGACGGGCGAGUAAUGCUUAGGAAUCUGCCUAUUAGUGGGGGACAACAUUCCGAAAGGGAUGCUAAUACCGCAUACGCCCUACGGGGGAAAGCAGGGGAUCUUCGGACCUUGCGCUAAUAGAUGAGCCUAAGUCGGAUUAGCGAGUUGGUGGGGUAAAGGCCUACCAAGGCGACGAUCUGUAGCGGGUCUGAGAGGAUGGUCCGCGACACUGGGACUGAGACACGGCCCAGACUCCGACGGGAGGCAGCAGUGGGGAAUAUUGGACAAUGGGCGGAAGCCUGAUCCAGCCAUGCCGCGUGUGUGAAGAAGGCCUUUUGGUUGUAAAGCACUUUAAGCGAGGAGGAGGCUACUAGUAUUAAUACUACUGGAUAGUGGACGUUACUCGCAGAAUAAGCACCGGCUAACUCUGUGCCAGCCGCCGCCGUAACAC
rnacentral:rRNA from 1 species